CGUAUUUGUUUGAUGUUUUCUGACGUGACUUCACUGAAAAGCUUUGACUCUCUUACAGGCUGUGGAGAUAUUAUUGCAGACCCAGAAGAAGAGGCAGGCCCCAGCUGUGACAAGCAUGCCCCCGGGCCAGGCAAGCCAGUUCUCUCUAAAAAGAACCCCAGCGUGGUGGCCUACCAAGGAGGAGGGGAGGAGAUGGCCAGCCCAGAUGAGGUGGACGACACCUAUCUCCCGGAAUUCUGGGACAUGUUGUCCCAGACUGAGGACCAAGGGCAAGGAACCCAGGAGGGCGCCGCGAAGGCAGCCACUGCUUCGGACACCAAGUUGGCCCCUGAGACUUCCAAUGAUGCCCGGUGUGGGG
rnacentral:lncRNA from 1 species